rnacentral:rRNA from 1 species
GACGAACGCUGGCGGCGUGCUUAACACAUGCAAGUCGAACGGAAAGGCCCUGCUUUUGUGGGGUGCUCGAGUGGCGAACGGGUGAGUAACACGUGAGUAACCUGCCCUUGACUUUGGGAUAACUUCAGGAAACUGGGGCUAAUACCGGAUAGGAGCUCCUGCUGCAUGGUGGGGGUUGGAAAGUUUCGGCGGUUGGGGAUGGACUCGCGGCUUAUCAGCUUGUUGGUGGGGUAGUGGCUUACCAAGGCUUUGACGGGUAGCCGGCCUGAGAGGGUGACCGGCCACAUUGGGACUGAGAUACGGCACAGACUCCUACGGGAGACAGCAGUGGGGGAUAUUGCACAAUGGGCGGAAGCCUGAUGCAGCAACGCCGCGUGCGGGGUGACGGCCUGCGGUUUGUAAACCGCCUUCGCCUGUGACGAAGCGUGAGUGACGGUAAUGGGUGAAGAAGCACCGGCUAACUACGUG